rnacentral:rRNA from 1 species
AUGGAGAAGAGCGGGGAGGCGAAAUGGCGCUUUGGGGCGGCAAACCCGGCGCUGGAGGCGGCUAGCAGGCAGAGCAUCCGCUCCCUCGUGCGCCGCGUGUAUGACUGCCUGGACACGAGCGACCCGCGGCCCGUCGCACCGUUCGGCCACGGCGACCCCUCGGUGUUCGCGUGCUUCCGCACGGCGGCCGCUGCCGCGGAAGCCGUCGCCGCCGCCGUUCUGUCGGGCAAGCACAGCCGCUACUCCCCUGCCGCCGGCGUGGCCGACGCGCGCGCGACGUCGUGCGUGCUCACGGCCGGCUGCAACCACGCCAUCGAGAUCAUGAUGGCCGUGCUGGCCUCGCCUGGCGCCAACGUGCUGCUGCCGCGGCCGGGGUACCCAACGUACGAGGCGCGCGCGGCCUUGUGCGGCCUCGAGUUCCGGCACUUCGAUCUUGUGCCGGAGAAGGGGUGGGAGGUCGACCUCGACGGGGUAGAGGCUCUCGCCGACGAGAAUACGGUCGCCAUGGUCAUCGUUAAUCCCAAUAACCCCUGUGGGAGCGUCUACUCCUAUGACCACUUGGCCAAGAUUGCAGAGACCGCGAGGAAGCUCGGAGUCCUGGUGAUCAGUGACGAAGUUUACGGCCAUUGCGUCUUUGGGAGCAAGCCGUUCGUGCCCAUGGGUGUGUUUGGGGAGACAGCUCCAGUGGUGACCUUGGGAGGCAUCUCCAAGCGGUGGAUGGUGCCUGGUUGGCGACUUGGCUGGAUUGCGGCAUCCGAUCCAAAGGGAGUCAUUAGGGACAAGAAGGUUAUUCAGUCGAUAAUAAGCUACUGUGGCAUCUCGGUAGACCCAGUAACGUUUGUUCAGGGAGCUAUACCCCAAAUCAUCGCCAACACGGAUGAAGCUUUCUUCGAGAACGCCAUGAACGUGAUGAGAGAGGCCGCAGAGAUAUGCUACCAGAAACUCAACGACAUCGACUGCAUCACCUGCCCUCACAAACCAGAGGGGUCCAUGGUCGUCAUGGUGAAGCUGGACCUGUCCUGCUUAGAUGGUAUCGACGAUGAUGUCGACUUCUGCACCAAGGUUGCCCGAGAGGAAUCCGUGGUCAUUUGCCCAGAGAGUGGACUAGGAAUGAAGGAUUGGCUCCGUAUUACGUUUGCAGUUGAUCGACCCCUUCUUGAGGAUGGCCUGGAGAGGGUCAAAUCUUUCUGCAAAAGGCAUGGCAAGGCUAAGGAGGUGAAGUAA